rnacentral:lncRNA from 1 species
CGUGACUGGAGAGGGACCGGUGGAGAAUUUGGCUGCACACUUGAGCGACCCAUUCGGAAACAACUUGCUGACCGUCAUCCAGGGUACUGCUGAGCGGACUCCCAGCCUUUAAGCAAGAAAAGCUGGAUAUGUAGUGACUGCCGAGGAUUGGGAAUGUAUAGACCUAGGAGAUCUUAAUGCACGAAGCUCGUUGCUUGGAGAAAAUUCAUCGUACAUAUUGGAUAUGUGAAAGACAAUGCAGUUAGAAAACCUGCUUUCCUUUGCGUUAAUUUAGCUUCGCUUUGAAGACUGAGUUUUUCAAAUUGAAGUGAUGACUCUUUUAAACUAACCAAGUCCACGAUUAUCGAUAUGUGAAUGGUAUGAGACUAUGACGUGUCUUCUUUAAACUGUUUUCCUAUCUCAAUCGCAAUCCAAUUCGUUGCCCAGUUACAAUUAUGAUGGUAUUCAUAGUUUACCUAACAACUAUCAGUCGUCAGAAUUCGUGCUCAAACUCAUAAUUCCUUGUGUGCCAUACAGCAGCAGACAAUGUGAAUCAUAAUAAUUUGUCGUGCAACAUUUCUCAAAAUAUUCGGCCGAUGAACUAUUUAACUGUCUCAAUCAAUGUGCUCACUUCCACGUGUCUCGUGCACCAGCGACAAUAUUGAUAUGAACUAUCAUCGAACACUGUCAUAAUCUGUGCUGACCCAACUAACACUUUCAAAAUGUGACGAGAAGGACGCUAUAAAAACUCUCUAUUCGAUGCCAUCCAAUUGCUACAACCUGCCCUGGACAAUCUACUGGCUACAACAAGUCAAGCUGCUUCAGUGACACUAUGUCGUGAGAAAGAAGGUCAACUAUUCCCGAAAAGUGAGAGGCCCCAAUUCAUCGAAUCCUUAAGAAUCUCCGUCGAGAAGUAAAUAGUAUUUGCAUCGCCAUUGGAUGUCUGAGGGCGCCUUAUCCAUAUCCUACUGGCUACGCUCAUGGUUACACAAGCUCGCCAUCCUUUCGCUCAUGCCCUGGAGUGCUCACGUCGUUCUUCUACACACAGCCAUCAUCUAUGGUGGUGGUGGUAAUCUGCCAGAGCCUCCAAUUUAGCAACAAUCUGGUGAGGAGCGAUGGCGGCCAUGGCAGCUGCAAAAGCUCAGUUUCUGGGUCAGUCCCUGGUGAGCAGCUGGAGAGGAGUGUUAAAAGAAGAGAAAAGAAGCAAGCAUAACAGAAUUGAUCAUCUGUUAUUAUUCUCUUAAAGCGUGUAUUACAGAGGUUGAUGACAACCUAUAUAGGUUGUAGAUUGAUUACCAAAAUAUAUAGAUAAGACAUUCAAUUGGUGAUAGUCCUUGUUCUUUACUAAUUAUUUAAUCCAAAUAGCUUUUUUGUACAAGCUAUAUAUUCUACUUUGAUAGAAGAUAAUGCUAUAAUAGGUUGUUGCCAACUUUGCCAAGAAAUAACUCCACCGGCUAAUGUAAAUAUACAACUAAGAAUGGAUCUUUGGUAGUUUUCAUCACAUGUCCAAUUACUACUACUUAAAUCUUAAAUUUAAUGUUGAUAUUCAAUUAAAUUUUAUUUACUUUGAUGAAUAAUUUUAUAAUUUAAAAUUCCUUUAAGAUAUCUUAUUAUACCUUUUAUUGUAGAUCAAUGUGCUUAACUUGGAUUAGCUAUAAAUUUGGCAACUUGGCAAAUAGAAAAAGUAAUAUCAAGCCUAAUAUGAAUCAUGGCAUGUAUUAAGCACCUUACAAUAAUUAAGUACAAGACAUCCUUCAUUAUCUUUAUAUUUUUAUGAUCAAUGAAACUUAUAUCCAUAGUCAAUCUUAAUUUGGCUUCAAGAAGGAUUGAAACGGGUUUAUAAUCUUAUAUAUUAAAUCUUAUAAAAAUUUCAGUUAUAUAUUUAUUUUAUAAUAAACUAAUAGACUUGUUAAUUUUAUUGUAUUCAACCAUUAUACUUUGGCAACCAUAUCUACUUUCAAUAGAUCUUUUUUUAGUCAUUUCAAAGCCACUUGCCAAAAGUCUUUAAGUAGUAUUUAAGAAAUAUAUAUUAUUACUAAUAAUAAUAGAGUUGUCUACAUAUGAUGUCUAUAUAAUAAAAUUUUGAUGCAUUAGCUCUCUUUUAAUAUAUAUACUAGAAUCUAUUUUACUAUAAGAAAAAUCAUUUUCAAUAAAUUAAUGGUUAAAUUAUUCAUACCACAUACACAAAAUUUAUUUUAAUCCAUAUAUACAUUUAAUAACUUAUAAACUAUAUGUAUAAAGUAAAGAUCAAUAUAACUCUUUGGUUGAGCCAUAUAAAUUUGUUUAUUUAAAAGACCAUGAAGAAAUACGGGCUUAAUGUCUAUUUGAUAAACAUUUAAAUCAUAUAUUGUAGUUAGGGAUAAUAAAAUAUACAAUGAAUUUAUUUUUAUCAAAAUAAAAAAUAUCUUUUCAUAGACAAUAUUGUUUUCUUGUGAAAAACACCUAGCAACCAAUUGAGCCUUAUAAUAGGUGAUUAUUCUAUUAGGAUUAUAUUUUCUUUUCGAAAUCCAUUUAUAACUUACAGUGACUCAAAAAACUAUUUCAAUGUUGACAUAUUUUAGAAAGAAUGGUGUAUUACAGAUGAAUUGUUCUGAAUAACGACAUGUGGUAUAUAUAGCAAAUAAAGUAUUCUUUUACAGCUACCAAAUGAGUCCAGGUUGAAAAGAAUCCAUUAGGUAAUUGUGGAGCUAUGACCAAUCUAAUUUGGAAUAGUAUUGAAACAAUCUUUUGACUAUGGUGUCAAAUUUUUGGAUUCUAUCAAUUACUUAAUAUUAUAACAUUCUAUCAUCAUUAGAUUUAUUAUGAAAAUAUUAUUACUAAUCUAAUGAUAUUAUUAAUGCUUACUAGCAGGUAUAAAAGCACUAUUAUUAAUUACAAUUCCUAGCACAGACAUAUUCUAAAUUAUUACAUUCUAAGUCCUUUUAGAAUCUUCUACAAAUUUCUAAAAUCUUCUAGAUAUUUGUAGAAUCUUCUACAAUCUUUUAGAAAGUUCCAUAGGCUUUUAGAAGCCUCUUUAGGCUUUUAGAAGCCUCUUUAGGCUUUUAGAAGCCUCUUUAGGCUUUUAGAAGCUUCUUUAGACUUCUAAAAACUUCUAUAGAAAGUACUAUAGACUUUUGUAACCUUCAUUAUAGUAUAAAUAUGAAUCUUUGGAACCACUUUUACUAUUAAUCUUAUUCUUUGUCUUUAAUCUUAAUAUAUUUCUUUGUCAAAUUCUUGUAUCCUUGACAAUUCCUUAAACAACUAGGAAAUCCAUUUCUUGCUCUCUCCAAAAUAACAUCACCUCUACUCUUCUUCAUUCUCAAAAAUCUUAUGGCCAAAUUGCUUCUGAACUUGGCUGUAGUAAAGCUACUAUCUCUAGGCUAGCAAAAAAGAUCACUUUUAAUAGGGAGAAUCUUAAAUUAGGUAGACUAAAGAAGCUCACUGUAGUAGAUGAAAGAACAAUCAUUUGCCAAAUCAACAUUGGGAAGAUUGAAAAUGUUAUUGAAGUUGCUAAAAAUCUUUAUAAUAUUAUCAAUAAUCCUAUGUCAAUCCAAACCAUUUGAAAUGUCCUUAAGAAAUAGAAUCCGAAAGCUGCGGUAAAAAAAAAACAAACAAACAAACAAACAAACAAACACUAUUAUCUAUCUGCCAAUAGAAACAAUGCUUGGAUUUUCCUCUGAAGUACAAAGAAUGGAUUGUGGAGAAUUAGAAGAGGAUUAUUUGGUGAAAUGAGACAAAAAUCAAUAGAUUUGGGUCAGAUGGCAAAAAAAAGGAUGUAAAAAUAAAAAGAACAAUCUUUACUUGACAAAAAGAUAUAAGAAAUAAUUAAGCAUGGAGGUGGAAAUAUAAUGGUAUAGAGUUGUAUGGAAUGGAAUGGAGUUGAUAGAAUGGCAGAGGUUGAAGAAAGGAUAGAUGUCAAGCAAUUUGUAGAAAUUUUUGAAAAAAAUCUACUUCUUAGCAUUGAAGAAUCUAGCAUUUUUGAAGAAGAAGUGAUUUUUCAAUAAGAUAAUAAUCCCAAGCAUAACUCAAAACUAGCAUCAAAGUGGUUUGAUCAUCAUAGGAUUAAAGUAAUAGAUUGGUCUGCUCAGUCUCCUCAUCUUAAUCCCAUUGAACAUCUUUGGAAGCACCUCAAAUGUCAGCUCAAUACCUAAAAGAUAAAACCAAAGGAUUGGAAAAUAUGAGAAUUAAUAGGUGUAGAAUGGAAUAAUAUUAAAGCAAUUUUGUGCCAAAAGUUAAUAGAAAGUAUGCCUAGGAGGUUGAAAUUAGUUAUCAAGGCCAAAAAAGGUCCUAAAAAAUACUGAUAUGUAAUUGGAUGCCACAUUCAUAAUUUUUUUUUAAUAUUGUUCGAAAUUGAAUUGGUCAUAGUUUCAUAAUUACCUAAUGGAUUCUUUUCAACCUAGGCUCAUUUGGUAGUUGUAAAAGAGUACUUUAUUUGCAAUAUAAACCACAUGUCAUUAUUCACUAUAAUUCAUUUGUAAUACACCAUUCUUUCCAAAAUAUGUCAAUAUUGAAAUAAUUUUUUGAGUCACUAUAUUAUAAAGCAUGUUAAUGAAAGAUCCUUCAAAAUUCAUGUAUUUUUUUAAAUUAAAGAACCAUAUUUAGAAUUUAAUGCUUCUUUCCACUUCGUAGUAUCUUCACCAUUUAAAGCUUUUGUAAUUAGAUAAGAUUCAUUAGAAUCAUGUAAAGUAAAUAAAUAAUAAGUAAUAUAUGAUUAUAAUAUUUAUUUAAUAAUUUUUUAUUAUUAAUAUUUUGGAUUUUUUUGGUAGAUUGAAUGAUAAAAUUCUUAAAUUAGUUAAAUGAGUAUUCUUAAUUAUAUCAUCAUUAUUUGACAAAAGAUUUUUUAAAGCAAUUAAUAAUUCAAAAAAUAUUUCUUCAUGUUGAAAUUUACUUUGAAUACAUUAGUAUGAUUACUUUGAAUACUUUGAACCUUAGUAUGAUUACUUUGAAUACUUUGAACCUUAGUAUGAUUACUUUGAAUACUUUGAACCUUAGUAUGAUUACUUUGAACAUUAGUAUGAUUACUUUGAAUACUUUGAACAUGUAUCAUGAGAAGACAUAACAUCAUUACAUAAUAUUGAUUGUCAAAUUGAAGUAAUUUUUGAAAAUUGUUAUAAAAGAAUAUAUUUUGUCAAGUAGAUAUCUUAAAUCAUGUUUCAACUAAAGCAUCAAUAAAGCUUUUGUUAUCAUUAUUGUCAUUUUGUAUUCAUUUCUUUCUUUGAGUAAAUAAAGUUUUUAAUAAGGUAAUUCCAUCAAAGAUAAUAUUACAACUAACAAUUUUUUUUUAUUUUUAAUUAUAUAAUAGAUAUUAUUCACCAUAGCCAAAAAAAAUAUAUUUUUUAUUUUUUAUAUCAAGCUUAUGUUGGUACUCAUUAAAAAUAUGUACAUAUGUUAUAUAUCCAUAGAUCUUCAAAUGACUUAAAUGAGGUGUUUUACCACAAUAUAAUGUCAAAAAAGUCAUUGAAGCUUCUAAUGUCUUUAAAAAGGUUCUAUUUUGUAUAUAACAAGUUGUGGCCUUGGCAUCUGCCCAAAAAAAUUGGAUAAUCUAGAUGUAUGCAAUAGACAUCUUGCAAACUUUAAUAAAAUUUUAUUCUUUUGUUUGCUAACACCAUUUUGUUCUAGUAUAUAGGAUAUAGUGAAUUGACAUAUUAUUCCAUGUUGAACACAAAAAUAAUUUGUCCAAGAAACCUGAGGACUUUGGCAGGUGGAGUCUCGGUCUACUCACACAUUUGUCAUCUGCUACAUCCAUUUUUAUUGUUCAGGAAUUUGAGUAAUUGUUUCGGGCUUUGGAUUGAGGGUUCUUGUAUCUACAUUCCGCAGUUACCAAGCUUAUGAGCUUAUCCAUGCUCGAUGGGCCAUAUUGCGAGCCGCUGGCUUUGUUCCUCCUAACGCAUUCAACAAGUUUGGCUCCGUCUGCGGCCCUGAAGCUAUGUGGUGGAAGGUACGUAAUGAAGUGAAUAUCCUCUCGGGUGUGCUCUCAUGUAGACAUGGAGUUUACAUCUUAGUGACAUUUGCUGGUGUUAGAAUCGCAGAUGAGCACUUGUUGCGAAAGCAAUGUUAGUGGUUUUAAUACUCAGUUAUUUUAACCGAGUAACUUGAUUCUGACGAGACUUAUGUGUUCAUUAGACCGGAGCAUUACUGCUGGAAGGUGACUCCAUCAAGUACUUCGGAGCCACCGUUCCCAUCAACCUGGCCGCUGCCGUGAUUUCCGAGGUUAACCUGGUUGGAGGAUCCGAGUACUAUAGAUCGACCAACAAGUCUCCCCUCGGAUCGGUAUGUCCCUGCACCAAUUCGCUGUCAUGUGGAGAAAAAGGUGGUAGACAAGACAGAGGUGGCCUUAUCAUGGUUUGAGGGUGUGGCGAGGUGAAUCGAUCUUUGAACUGUCCACGUUCUGACCGUGAGGGAUGUUUAUGGAUUGCAGGACUUGGAUAGGUUGCACCCAGGAGGUGCAUUCGACCCUUUGGGGCUUGCGAAGGAUCCCGACCAGUUCGCGCUGUUGAAGGUGAAGGAGAUCAUGAACGGGAGGUUGGCUAUGUUUUCGAUGCUGGGGUUCUUCGUCAAGGCAUACGUAACUGGAGAGGGACCGGUGGAGAAUUUGGCUGCACACUUGAGCGACCCAUUCGGAAACAACUUGCUGACCGUCAUCCAGGGUACUGCUGAGCGGACUCCCAG